UUGAUGUCUAAGGUGUUGGACUUGAGGUAGUCGUACAAGGAUCCGUUCUCAUGGUAGUCUGUGAUCAGGUACAGCUGAGUCCACGAGCCUGUUCCUUUGAUGUCAGCUGCUAUGAAUCCUGGGAGUGAUAAUGAAAGAAGGUCUGAUAAAUCUCAGUCUCUCUGAACCAACUCUCCUCCUCCGUGGUGAAGAAGACUUUGACGGCCACUCUCUCCUCUCUCCAUUUGCCCAUCCACACCUCUCCGUAACGCCCUUUGCCGAUCUGCUUCACCAUCUGAAUCUGCUUGGCAAUGGUUCGCUGCACCUGGAAACGUGUGACAAAAACCAAGAGGUUUUAAAAAAACGUUCUACAGACUCUAAGUGCACUGCUCCUUUCUCACCAGUAGAGGGAGACCUGAACCUGAGCCAGACCCUGUGCUUCGAGAGUGCUCUAUAAGGUCCUUCAGAGACUCCCCAACAGGGAUAAAAAGAGAAGGAGGAGGCCGAGGACGAUGGUGCAGACUGUGAUGGAGAUGAAGAGCGCCAUGUACUGGACACUGCUGUCAACAUAAUCUGGAAAAAUAUAAACAGUCAUGUGUGAAACUCUUAUUCAGCCUGACUGAUGAUGAAAGCUCCCACUGUGUGAUCGAUCACAUCCCCUUCCUGAAUGUCACGUAUCAGGUGUCACCCCGACGUUACUGCAGUAAUCCCUGAGGCCUGCAGCAGCUCUGGGACUCUAACCUUUCCAUCACGGUUCUGUCAGUCCGACCCACA